ACCCAGUCCCCCUCCAUUGCAGGUGAUAUGCCAACUGGACAGGAAAUGCCUCCUCAGAAUAGACAGCAUAGAGAUCAGCCACCAAGUAAACAUUUGUAUGCACUAGGGAUAACGGCAGAGGCAAGAGAGCAGGAUGGGAUCAACAACAAUGACAUCUGCUGUCUGCUCGGGAUGAGAACAUUAAAUAAUGUCGUAACUGCAACUCAACAGAAUCACCCAACUCUGUGUUCUUAUUAGGGUUUGCAGUGAUAAGAGCAAGUCUCCAAGGAGGCGAAUGUACGAGUGAUCAGAAAUCAGGCCAGUCAAGCUGAAGACGAUGUGUACACUAACCUGUUCACACUGAAUAGUCCCUAUAAAUAAU